rnacentral:miRNA from 1 species
AGAGGAUUUGAGUUUUAAAACUAG